CAGUUUCUAGUCCGAGCUCAAACCAAGAAACGAAAGUAUGUUCCCAAUUUCACUUGUAGUGAGUCCCAUAGUCUCUGUAGUGAUAAAAACAGCUGCUUCCUUAAUCAGUGACAGGUAUGUGGGUGUGAUCGGAGUCGAGGAAGAUAUCAAAAGACUGUCAGAUACCAUGUCUGCAAUCAAUGCUGUUCUUCAAGAAACAGACAAGAUGCAAACAAAGUCUGAACCCCUGAAAGAUUGGCUUGAAAAGGUGCAAGACUUUGCUUAUGACACAGCAGACAUUCUAGAGACCCUAUCGGCCGAUGCGUAUAUGUGGAGAAGGAAGCAAGUAAGUAGCUUAAGAUCAAGCAUGCACAAAAUUUUCAUUGGGUAUAGCAUAGUAGAUGAUGUGACCAAGCUGUUACGAAGGCUAGAAGACAUUAAGGAAGGAAAAAAACUGUUCGACAACAUCAUUAGUGCCCCGGUUGUGAUGAUGCCUGCUUCUGAGACUGGACACGGACACGGAUAUGGUCAAACACACACUAGUUCUCUCUUGAGCAAAUCGCAAGUUGUCGGCAGGAAAGAUGAUAAAGAGAAGAUAGUGGAGAUGUUGGUGUCGGCGGCGUUGGAUAAAGAUGUGAGUGAGGAGGAAGGACACAUUACUACCAUUACCAUUGUCGGGAUGGGAGGGGUAGGCAAAACAACUCUUGCUCGAUUGGUCUACAAUGAUGAUGCAGUUAAAGAGCAUUUUCAGUACAGAAUAUGGAUUUCUGUCAAUUUCAAUUUCAAUUUGGACAGGAUUCUACAAGAGAUGAAGGUAUCCCUUUAUGGGAAGUCGUACAAACCAACCCUGUCUAUGGACAACGUACAAACAGAAGUUCACAAGUUUUUGGCCGGAAAGCGUUUUCUGCUUGUUCUAGAUGAUGUUUGGACUCAAAACAUUACAGACUGGGAGCAGCUGAAGGUAAUCCUGGAAAAUGGGGAAAGGGGCAGCAGAGUCAUUGUGACUAGUCGAAGCAAAAGAGUUUUCGGCAUUCAAGCUAAUCCCUAUAACUUGUCAGAAAUGGGAGAGGAAGAAUGUUGGGAUCUGUUCAAGAAGCAUGCAUUUCAAGGUAAUAAUACAUCAGGCGAUGCUCGCAAACGUCUGGAAGAUAUUGGCAGGGGAAUUGUGCACAAGUGCCAAGGUCUACCUUUGGCUGUCAAGGUAAUGGGACUUCUCCUAUGUAACAUUGAAGCAAGCAAAUGGGAAGAUAUCCUGAAAAAUGAUAUAUGGAAGGUAGACCAGAACUUGAAAGAAGGGGAGGAAGAAAUUUUACCUGCUCUAAUGUUGAGUUUUAUCCAUCUUCCUUCUCAUCUUAAGCAGUGUUUUGCCUACUGUUCUAUAUUUCCAAAGGGAUAUGGAUUUGAUAAGAAUGAACUGGUGAAAUUCUGGAUGGCUGAGGGAUUCAUUCAGCUUAGUGAUAUAGAAAGGAUGGAGGAUAAAGGACUUAGGUACUUCGACGAGUUGUUAGCAAGAUCAUUCUUUCAACCAAAUGAUGGGCCCGAGACUAAUUGUAAGAUGCAUGAUCUCAUCCAUGACUUGGCACUCUCAGUUUCCAGCCGCUAUAUUCACCACCUAAAGGAUGAUGGGAAGUGUGAUGUUUCUGAAACAUCUCGUUAUGUGUCACUGGUUUGUAAAGAUGUUGAGCAGCCUAUUAUGAAUAUAAUUAGCAAGUCCAGAAGAAUUUGCACUCUUCUAUCGCCUACUGAGUUGUUCACCAAGGAAUUUGGUCAGGUCCUCCUUGAGCAAAUUUUUCACAAUUUGAGGUACAUUCGUUUAUUGGAUCUAAGUUCAAGCACACUCAUGGAAUUGCCUAAGUCAAUUAAAGAGUUGAAGCUGUUGAGCUACCUUGACCUGUCAAAAACUGAAAUAAGACAGCUUCCAGAUGCAAUAUGUAGCCUCCACAAUUUACAGACCCUGAAACUCUUGGGGUGCCAUUAUUUUUCUGAUUUACCCAAGGACCUCAGUAUCUUGAUUAACCUAAGAUAUCUUGAGGUAGAUGAAAUAUUUUGGUUCAGGUGCUCAACAUUGCCACGGGGAAUUGGGAGCUUGACUAGUCUACACAAUCUACACAAGUUUCCUUUGGGCUGCCAGAAAGGAUAUGGAAUUGAGGAACUGAAGAACUUGCUGUAUCUCACAGGAAAACUGCACAUCUCAAAACUUGAAAAUGCAGUGAAUGCAUGUGAUGCUAACUUGAAAGACAAGCCAAUGCUUCGAGAGUUGGUUUUGGAAUGGAGUGAAAGAAAUUUUCAAUUGACGGGAGAAAUAACUGACGAGAGAACACUAGAAGACCUAAAUCCUCACUCAAGUCUUGAAGUGCUCAGAAUUAUUCACUACAUGGGUACUAGAAUUCCGACUUGGAUGAGAAGCGGGGAACUCCAAACUCUAAAAGUUCUUUCCCUUUAUCAUUGCAAAAAUUGCAAAAUCCUCACCCUUGGUCAGCUACCUGCGCUCGAAGAGCUCUACAUCAAAGGAAUGGAAGAGUUGGAGGAAUGGCAUGAGGAGGGAUCACCAUCUAUGUAUAGACUGAACAUUAGCAACUGCCCGAAGCUAAGGAAGUUGCCAGGUUUUUUGGGUGACUUGAGAGUUUUGAAGAUCAAAAAGUGUGAUUCAUUGAAGGCUCUUCCAGUAACCCCAUUUCUGGUGUUUCUAAUCCUUAUCGACAAUCUUGCCUUUGAGGGUUGGUCUGAACCACGCAUUUCAUUAUACCCUUCAAAUGACCAAGACGAGCCCACGCCCAGCUCUUUUGAGAAUGAUCAAGGCCAUCCCCUCCGCUGCAUAUCUGGAAACAGUCAAUUCCAACAUGAUCAAUGCCGACCUGUGUUAUCCUCUUCAGGGUAUCGAACCCUAAUGCAGCAUGCGAUGAUUCAUCUCUUGGAAUUGAAAAUUAUAGGUUGCCCCAAGAUUCAAGGUCUACCACAAUUUUUUUCCCCACAAAAACUGGAGCUCAUUGGGUGUAAUGACCUCCUGCAAGCCCUCCCAAUCGACACACCACGUCUCCAGGUAUUAGCAUUGGACGCAUGCCCUGAUGCCACCUUAGUGCAGGCAAUACCUCACAGCCCCAUUAUGUACUCUUUAGCCAUUUCCAAUAUCUCAAACCUAGUCUCUCUUCCUGCAUUGCCUGAGCUCCCUCUGCUUUCGGCACUGCACAUACGUGGCUGCAAAGAUCUCAAGUCUUUGUUGGACAGAGAAGGGUCAUGGCAAAGCUUGCCAAAUCUGAAACUACUAUCCAUUCGGGAUUGUUCUCAACUUUCAACCUUGGCAGAUGAAGGGCUUCCUGCCUCGCUUGAAUGUUUAAUUAUUCACUCAUGUGCCAAUCUUCGGUCUUUAGGCCCAAGUUGGGUGUUGCGGAACCUUAGUUCCUUCAAGGAUCUUUACAUUGACGAUUGCCCUGAACUUUAGUCCUUGCCAGAGGAGGGGGUUCCUACUUCACUUCAACAUCUGCGUAUUAAGGGGUGCCCCUUAUUGAUGGCGCGAUGCGAAAAUGAGGAUGGAGGAGGCUCAGAUUGGCAAAAAAUUAGGGACAUUCCUGACUUGCAGAUUGAGAAAGUGGCUCUCAAACCUCGUGCAUCUUCAUCAGCUCAUAGUUACUUUCCAUACUGUUGUAAAGGAAUUGACACAAAAGAUACAGAGCAAGUGGAACAACUCAAACCAGGCAGCUUAAAGCAACAAGG